AUUUUAUAUACCAUUUGAUUUGCUCCAAACAAUCGAGCAUUGUUCAGUAUCCGAUAAGAGCUCGCCGAGUUUUGUUUGAAAGUAAAAAAACAGGUUUUAUGUGAACAGGUGUUAUUUGUUCUUACGCUUCUGGUUAUAAGUGCGUGACUACUGGUAUGACCAUCAUCUUGGUCCAAACGCUCUCAUCGUCUUGCAAGCAGCUUCACCAAAUGUUCGUCAGUAAAUUCACAGUAUCUAAUAAAAUCCGCAAUGGAAAAUGGCAAGAAAUAACACAAUAACUUAAACACGGACAUGAAUAAAUAAUUUUUAAUACUGUAA